rnacentral:rRNA from 1 species
CAGUCGCCGCGGUAACACGUAGGGUGCAAGCGUUAAUCGGAUUUACUGGGCGUAAAGCGUGCGCAGGCGGCCCGUUAAGGCAGGUGUGAAAUCCCUGGGCUCAACCUAGGAAUUGCGCUUGUGACUGGCGGGCUCGAGUACGGUAGAGGGGGGUGGAAUUCCUGGUGUAGCAGUGAAAUGCGUAGAGAUCAGGAGGAACACCGAUGGCGAAGGCAGCCCCCUGGGCCUGUACUGACGCUCAUGCACGAAAGCGUGGGGAGCAAACAGGAUUAGAGACCCCAGUAGUCCCUGUCUCUUAUAC